CGUACACUCCUACGGGAGGCAGCAGUGGGGAAUUUUGGACAAUGGGCGAAAGCCUGAUCCAGCCAUGCCGCGUGCAGGAUGAAGGCCUUCGGGUUGUAAACUGCUUUUGUACGGAACGAAACGGCCUUUUCUAAUAAAGAGGGCUAAUGACGGUACCGUAAGAAUAAGCACCGGCUAACUACGUGCCAGCAGCCGCGGUAAUACGUAGGGUGCAAGCGUUAAUCGGAAUUACUGGGCGUAAAGCGUGCGCAGGCGGUUAUGUAAGACAGUUGUGAAAUCCCCGGGCUCAACCUGGGAACUGCAUCUGUGACUGCAUAGCUAGAGUACGGUAGAGGGGGAUGGAAUUCCGCGUGUAGCAGUGAAAUGCGUAGAUAUGCGGAGGAACACCGAUGGCGAAGGCAAUCCCCUGGACCUGUACUGACGCUCAUGCACGAAAGCGUGGGGAGCAAACAGGAUUAGAUACCCGAGUAGUCCC
rnacentral:rRNA from 1 species